GCCUGGCUAGCUCAGUCAGUAGAGCAUGAGACUCUUACUCUCAGGGUCGUGGGUUCAAGCCCCACAUUGGGCG
rnacentral:tRNA from 1 species